CCUACGGGAGGCAGCAGUGGGGAAUAUUGCACAAUGGGGGAAAGCCUGAUGCAGCAACGCCGCGUGAGUGAGGAAGUAUCUCGGUAUGUAAAGCUCUAUCAGUAGGGGAAUGAAAAGUAGGUACUUGAAAAUGAAGUAUCGGCCAACUACGUGCCAGCAGCCGCGGUAAUACGUAGGGGGCAAGCGUUAUCCGGAUUUACUGGGUGUAACGGGAGCGUAGGCGGAAAGGCAAGUCAGAAGUGAAAGCACAAGGCUCAACCAUGGGACUGCUUUUGAAACUGUCAAACUAGAGUACGGGAGAGGUAAGAGGAAUUCCUGGUGUAGCGGUGAAAUGCGUAGAUAUCAGGAGGAACACCAGUGGCGAAGGCGUCUUACUGGACCGAAACUGACGUUGAGGCUCGAAAGCGUGGGGAGCAAACAGGAUUAGAUACCCGUGUAGUC
rnacentral:rRNA from 1 species